rnacentral:rRNA from 1 species
GGCUCAGAACGAACGCUGGCGGCAUGGAUUAGGCAUGCAAGUCGAACGAUGAAGCAGUGCUUGCACUGCAGAUUAGUGGCGAAAGGGUGAGUAACGCGUGAGUAACAUGCCCUCAAGUUGGGAAUAACUCCCCGAAAGGGGUGCUAAUACCGAAUGUGGAUAUCUGACUGCAUAUUCAGAUAUCUAAAGAUUUAUCGCUUGAGGAUUGGCUCGCGUCCAAUUACGCUUGUUGGUGAGGUAACGGCUCACCAAGGCUGUGACGGGUAGGUGGUCUAAGAGGAUGGUCACCCACACUGGGACUGAGACACUGCCCAGACUCCUACGGGAGGCUGCAGUCGAGAAUCUUCCGCAAUGGGCGAAAGGCUGACGGAGCGAUGCCGC